rnacentral:lncRNA from 1 species
GGGGAUAAUUUCCCUUUUGGUCCUCCACUAUUAUGCGCGCAUUUAAGUUGGUCCUGAUUUUAUUUUUUUUUAUUUUUUUAUUUUUUCUAAAUUCGUUUUUUUCGUUUUAAUUCAGUUUGGCCCUUUUUUUUUCUCCCUUUAUUAUUUUUAUCCUUAUUUCUAUAUUUCAAAAGCACGCACGAUUAUAUAUACAUGCAUUUCAAUGUAAUAUACGUACUUGUAUAUAUUCAUUUCGUGCAGAUUUUUUACCUCUAUAUAUAUUAUUAUAUUUUAGUUUUUUUUUACUUUCAU